rnacentral:rRNA from 1 species
GACGAACGCUGGCGGCGUGCCUAAUACAUGCAAGUAGAACGCUGAAGGAGGAGCUUGCUUCUCUGGAUGAGUUGCGAACGGGUGAGUAACGCGUAGGUAACCUGCCUUGUAGCGGGGGAUAACUAUUGGAAACGAUAGCUAAUACCGCAUAAUAGUAGAUGUUGCAUGACAUUUGCUUAAAAGGUGCAAUUGCAUCACUACCAGAUGGACCUGCGUUGUAUUAGCUAGUUGGUGAGGUAACGGCUCACCAAGGCGACGAUACAUAGCCGACCUGCGAGGGUGAUCGGCCACACUGGGACUGAGACACGGCCCAGACUCCUACGGGAGGCAGCAGUAGGGAAUCUUCGGCAAGGGACGGAAGUCUGACCGAGCAACGCCGCGUGAGUGAAGAAGGUUGUCGGAUCGUAAAGCUCUGUUGUAAGAGAAGAACGAGUGUGAGAGUGGAAAGUUCACACUGUGACGGUAUCUGACCAGAAAGCGACGGCUAACUACGUG